AUGAAAAUAAAUUAUUAUUGUUAAAUUAUAAGAAUUUGAAUCUUGUAAAUUUAUUAUUAUUCAAGUAUUAAUUUUUAAUA
rnacentral:tRNA from 1 species